rnacentral:rRNA from 1 species
CCUACGGGUGGCAGCAGUGAGGAAUAUUGGUCAAUGGACGAGAGUCUGAACCAGCCAAGUAGCGUGAAGGAUGACUGCCCUAUGGGUUGUAAACUUCUUUUAUAUGGGAAUAAACUGUUCCACGUGUGGGAUUUUGUAUGUACCAUAUGAAUAAGGAUCGGCUAACUCCGUGCCAGCAGCCGCGGUAAUACGGAGGAUCCGAGCGUUAUCCGGAUUUAUUGGGUUUAAGGGGAGCGUAGGUGGAUUGUUAAGGCAGUUGUGAAAGUUUGCGGCUCAACCGUAAAAUUGCAGUUGAAACUGGCAGUCUUGAGUACAGUAGAGGUGGGCGGAAUUCGUGGUGUAGCGGUGAAAUGCUUAGAUAUCACGAAGAACUCCGAUUGCGAAGGCAGUUCACUGGACUGCAACUGACACUGAGGCUCGAAAGUGUGGGUAUCAAACAGGAUUAGAUACCCGUGUAGUC